rnacentral:rRNA from 1 species
CCUACGGGAGGCAGCAGUGGGGGAUAUUGGACAAUGGGGGGAACCCUGAUCCAGCGACGCCGCGUGAGUGAAGAAGUAUUUCGGUAUGUAAAGCUCUAUCAGCAGGGAAGAAAGAAAUGACGGUACCUGACUAAGAAGCCCCGGCUAACUACGUGCCAGCAGCCGCGGUAAUA